CAGUCGCCGCGGUAACACGUAGGUGGCAAGCGUUGUCCGGAAUUAUUGGGCGUAAAGGGUGCGUAGGCGGUCGGGUAAGUCGGAUGUGAAAUCCUGGGGCUCAACCUCAGAACUGCAUUCGAUACUGCUUGGCUAGAGGACUGGAGAGGAGACUGGAAUUCACGGUGUAGCAGUGAAGUGCGUAGAUAUCGUGAGGAAGACCAGCGGCGAAGGCGGGUCUCUGGACAGUUCCUGACGCUGAUGCACGAAAGCUAGGGGAGCGAACAGGAUUAGAUACCCCAGUAGUCCCUGUCUCUUAUAC
rnacentral:rRNA from 1 species